rnacentral:rRNA from 1 species
GACGAACGCUGGCGGCGUGCUUAACACAUGCAAGUCGAACGGAAAGGCCCUGCUUUUGUGGGGUGCUCGAGUGGCGAACGGGUGAGUAACACGUGAGUAACCUGCCCUUGACUUUGGGAUAACUUCAGGAAACUGGGGCUAAUACCGGAUAGGAGCUCCUGCUGCAUGGUGGGGGUUGGAAAGUUUCGGCGGUUGGGGAUGGACUCGCGGCUUAUCAGCUUGUUGGUGGGGUAGUGGCUUACCAAGGCUUUGACGGGUAGCCGGCCUGAGAGGGUGACCGGCCACAUUGGGACUGAGAUACGGACCAGACUCCUACGGGGGACAGCAGUGGGGAAUAUUGCACAAUGGGCGGAAGCCUGAUGCAGCAGCGCCGCGUGCGGAAUGACGGCCUUCGGGUUGUGAACCGCUUUCGCCUGUGACGAAGCGUGAGUGACGGUAAUAGGUAAAGAAGCACCGGCUAACUACGUG